rnacentral:rRNA from 1 species
ACUCAAAUGAAUAGACGGGGGCCCGCACAAGCGGUGGAACAUGUGGUUUAAUUCGAUGAUACGCGAAAAACCUCACCAGGGCUUGACAUAUAGGCAGUAGUGAACCGAAAGGGGAACGAGCCGUCAAGUCCGGCAUCCUAUACAGGUGCUGCAUGGCUGUCGUCAGCUCGUGUCGUGAGAUGUUGGGUUAAGUCCCGCAACGAGCGCAACCAUUUCUCUAUGUUGCCACCACAUUCUGGUCUUCGGAUCAGGGUGUGAGCACUCUUAGAGUACUGCCUGGGAUAACCAGGAGGAAGGUGGAGAUGACGUCAAGUCAGUACGGCCCUUAUGCCCUGGGCUACACACGUGUUACAAUGGUUGGGACAAAGGGUUGCCAACCCGCGAGGGGGAGCUAAUCUCUAAAAACCAACCUCAGUUCAGAUUGGAGUCUGCAAUUCGACUCCAUGAAGCCGGAAUCGCUAGUAAUGGAAGAUCAGCACGCUUCCGUGAAUACGUUCCCGGGCCUUGUACACACCGCCCGU